rnacentral:tRNA from 1 species
GGAGAGGUGGCAGAGUGGUCGAUCGCGGCGGUCUUGAAAACCGUUGAUCUGCAAGGAUCCGGGGGUUCGAAUCCCCCCUUCUCCG